rnacentral:rRNA from 1 species
UUGAAAGGGAAACGAUUGAAGUCAGUCGUACCGACGAGAAAUCAGCUUUUCGAGUGUGAACUUGUGGGCGUGCGUGAGUCUUUAACGGGCCUCGCUGUUUGCAAUUUUGUGCUUUUUGAGUGUACUUUUUCGUAUGGUAGGCCAACGUCAGUUUCGAUCACCGUAAAAUGAUCGGAGGAAUGUAGCUUCGAUCUCGUAUUGAAGUAUUAUAGCCUCUGGUAGAUGCGGUGACCGAAACUGAGGAUUGCAACGAAUACCCUCUGGGCUAUCCGUCUGACCUCUGAAAGUUGCUUAGGUGCCGAAAGCGUGCUUACGGCUAUUUAAGUUGACGGUCAACAGGUUAGAACGUGAUUACAUUCGUUAAGGAUGUUGACGUA